GUGACUCCCCACCUCCGCCCGGGCCCAAGCGCUCCUCCGGCCCCGCCCGGCCCCACACCGCCGGUCGACGUGAUCCUCUGCGGCCUGGCCUGCUUGCGCUGCCGCUGGAUCCUGAUCCUGCUCCUACUCAGCGCCAUCGCCUUUGACAUCAUAGCCCUGGCCGGCCGCGGCAGGCGGCAGUCGAGCGACCACGUCCAGACGUCCUUGCUGUGGUGGAGAUGUUUCCACGAGGGCGGCGGCGGCAGCGGGUCCUAAGAGGACGGCUGCUAGAGCCUCAUGGAGUACGCGUUGGGUAGAGCAGCAGCUGCCAUGCUCUUCUGGGGCUUCAGCUUCCUGGUGAUCUGUUUCAUCCUCUCCUUCAUCCUGUGUGUACCCCAGAUGCUUGUCUUCCUAAGAGUGAUUGGAGGUCUCUUUGCCUUGGCUGCUGUGUUCCAGACCAUCUCCCUGGUAAUUUACCCCGUGAAGUACACCCAAACCUUCAACCUUCAGGCCAACCCCUGCUGUCACUUACAUCUAUAACUAGCCCUAUGGCUUUGGGUGGGCAGCCACGAUUGUCCUCAUCGGCUGUGCUUUCUUCUGCUACUGCCUCCCCAACUAUGAAGAUGACCUCCUGGGCAAUACCAAGCCUAGGGACUUCUACACAUCCGCCUAACUUGGGAAUGAGUGUGGGAGAAAAUCGCCACUGCCAAGAUGGAUUCCAGAAGAAGAAACUGUUUCUCUAGGCUACUUUGAACCUAUUUUUUGGCAGUGUUCAUAGUCAAAAAUGCUAAAAUAAUUUAGGAGAAAAUAUUUUAAAAGUAGUGUUAUAGUUUUAUGUUCACCUUUUAUUAUGUUUGGUGAAGUUGUGUCUUCACUAAUUACCUAUACUAUGCCAAUAUUUCCUUAUAUCUACCCGUAACAUUUAUGCUACAUUUGUAAGAUAAUAUGAACAUGAAACUUAACACUUUAUAAGGUAAAAAUGAGAUGGUUUCCAAGAUUUAAUAAUCUGAUCAAGUUCUUGUUAUUUCCAAAUAGAAUGAACUGGGUCUGUUAAGGGCUAAGGAGAAGAGGAAGGUAAUGGUAAAAAUUGUCAAUGACUGGCCGGGUGUGGUGACUCAAGCUUGUAAUCUCAGCACUUUGGGAGGCUGAGACAGGCCGAUCACCUGAGGUCACGAGUUGAAGACCAGCCUGGCAAACAUGGUGAAACCCUGUCUCUACUGAAAAUACAAAAAUUAGCCGGGCUUGGUGGCACAUGCCUGUAAUCCCAGCUACUGG